rnacentral:lncRNA from 1 species
ACAGAAACAUAUUAAACAUAAAAUUUAAUAUCUUAAUCCCGCUGUAUAGACAGAAACAUAUUAAACAUAAAAUUUAGUUACAUAUAUACAAAAAAAAAAAUACAGUAUGUUUUACAUAUAAAAUGGAGUAAAAUUGCUAUUGUAGUAUUUAAAUAAGAUUAAAAAAAAAGAAAACUGCAAUUUUUGCACCAUUUAUUUGCUGGUGAGUUAUUCAGAAAAUAUUACAGAUUUAGACUUUGGAUAGAGUUGGUCUGGACAGAACUCCCACCUGGAGUUCCUCUUGGCUCCUAAUGCAAUUAAAUAAUAUGAUAUGAAACUACAUUUCUAACCAGAUGCCCACACAAAAGCUCUCUUGGGGUGAUAUAAUGAAUGGGUUUUGCAGCUUUCUAAGACUUUUCAGCUAAACAACCAUUCAAGUUGUAUUUGACCCUUGUACGAGGAUUUGUUUUAUGUUUUUUUUUUUUUCCCUUUCUCCUGCCAACUUAUUUGAAUUUAUAGUCUACAUUACUGCACUAAUAAAUUCUGUAGAUCUAUUAAAAACUAUUGCAACGCAUUCAAACUCAUCCCACAAAAUGGAGCUUGAUGAGGCGAUUGUUUGCUCAGAUAAUGAAGGCUUGAGGCGCGUAGACAUUAAAACUCAUACAAAUCCUCCAAAUACAUGAGUCGAUGCACCGCGGUGCUGCCACCUGUCGGCUGAGCUUAGCCACUGCGUCCAAAAUGAACUUCAGCCUGACAAACCGCUUAAUGUGCACUAAAGCUCGUUAAACCUACAUAAAUGUCAAACAGCACAUCAAUACAUACUAAAUAACUCAACGAGAACUGAAAUCAAGCCUGUGAGCAUGGUUUAAACGUUAAAAGGCACGGAGUGUCUAAAUGACGCAAAACUGUAAUGCAUCAGGAGAAGCUUUGAAACAUAUUUUAAAGCCACAGCAGCAGCUAUAUGGGUUAACAUGCGAAAUGUCAAAGGUUAAAAAAAAAAAACGACGACGCAGACGGUAUGCAAUUGCAAAAAUGCACUCUGUAUUCACAACGCGCGGAGAGCAAAUGACCCCGAGUACAUGAGACAGACUUACCUCACAACGCGCGGAGAGCAAAUGACCCCGAGUACAUGAGACAGACUUACCUUUACAAGAUUUAUGACGAAAAAUGCAUUUCUAUACAAGUCCAAAGCUGUUUAAGCGUUCAGAUGGUGUCCGCGAUAGUUUUUCGUUGAACUUCCCGCAUGGUCAAUAGAUUUUACGAGACGCGCUGCGGCUUCGACACACUGUGCGAGUCGCACAAACAACUCGAGGGGGAAAAAAACACAGAAAUGCACCGUAACGACGACGCAUACAAGUCGUGUCACGAUAUAAACUUCGACGCACUCUGAACACCCGCUGUUUAUUCGUCGUUUGCGGUCGAGCGGGGAAUCGCCAGCAUUACAUAAGCACGAGCUGCUUGUCAAACUCCCGACAGCCCGAGAUCUACCCGUCAAAAAGCCCCUGCUAGCUUCAACACGGUAAACGCCCCUCCGACAAAAAAACAAAAACUCCAGUACAAGUUACCCUCCAGCCAUGCGAAUACAAAAACACAACAAAAGCUGAAUAAAACCCGCGCCAAGUCGACAAACGAGCUGACAGUGACGCUAAUGUCACCGAACACACAAAUACCGCCGCUUCAGUUGCACGCGAUCGAAACAGAAACGGUAGCACUAGCUUGUCAUUCCCACCGUGUCAUUUUAAACCAACGACGCCGUUUACAGUCUGUCAACAGCGAAUAUAAGCCGUUUCCAUACUUAAGACGGCUCGAUCGUUUGAGAGCUCGAGCACAUUAGCUAACACAUUAGCACGAGCUGCGCGACCGCUGCAACUUUUGUAUGCGCCUUACAGCGAACUGAGCAAAGGCGGUAUACAAAUAUCUCUAGGCAGCUAUAUAUACGGGGAACACACGACGGAGAGCUAAAGACUGCAAGAAAAAGGCAUUCAGAAUGGCGCAGUUCAGUGCGUAAAUAAAGGGGCAAAGGGCACAUUCACAGAAUAAAACCCGAAAUAAAAGAGAAUUGUCUUUCCCGUUUCUGUGUACGAGUAACAACUGUCCAGUAUUGGACUUGUCCCCAACUGCGCACUAAAGAUGAAUACAUAUAUAUAUUUAGACUGAGUAAAGAGAGAGCGACAUGCGCACAAGGGUUCAGUUUUAAGUUUAUAUUCGUAUCGUUUAAAACUGUUAUCAGAGUGCAUACUGAAUAUCUUGCUAUUAUAAUAUAGGCUACUAUGACUGCGAAGGUUUGGAAUACAACUCGUGUAUUAAAACAGACACAAUGUAUUGAAGUAUAUAGAAAAUAAAAGUGAAAAAACAUCAGUGGUUCUGGUUUUGUUUCAGCAUUCAGAUUUUAAAUUGGACAGGUG